AACGAACGCUGGCGGCGUGCCUAACACAUGCAAGUCGAACGGGGUAGAGGGGCUUGCUCCUCUAUCUAGUGGCGCACGGGUGAGUAACGCGUAGAUAAUCUGCCUGAUGAUCUGGGAUAACAUCUCGAAAGGGGUGCUAAUACCGGAUAAGCCCACGGGUACUUUGGUGCUUGCGGGAAAAGGGGGGGACCUUCGGGCCUUCUGUCAUCAGAUGAGUCUGCGUACCAUUAGCUAGUUGGUAGGGUAAAGGCCUACCAAGGCUACGAUGGUUAGCUGGUCUGAGAGGAUGAUCAGCCACACUGGAACUGAGACACGGUCCAGACUCCUACGGGAGGCAGCAGUGGGGAAUUUGGCGCAAUGGGCGAAAGCCUGACGCAGCAACGCCGCGUGAGUGAUGAAGGCUUUCGGGUCGUAAAGCUCUGUCAGGGGGAAAGAAGUGUAUUGUGGCUAAUAUCCACGAUACUUGACGGUACCCCCAAAGGAAGCACCGGCUAACUCCGUGCCAGCCGCCGCAGUAACAC
rnacentral:rRNA from 1 species